rnacentral:lncRNA from 1 species
AGCAGCAGCCGCCGCCGACUGAGGAGCCGCAGCCAGGGAGCCAGCCAGCGCCGCCCAGUGCCGAGUGCGCAGCGGCCGCGCACGGAAACAGCCGAGCUAGGCCCGGAGCAGCUCGAGCGGCCCCGCCCCCGCGCUGGGGACGGAACUUGCCGAAGACCUUCGGGUUUCUUCGGGCGACGAGAAGGGGUUCCGCGGGGAGAGGGAAGGCGAAGGCGGGCUGAGCCCGGCGCCGGGAGGAGUGGUCUAAACUCCACCGCGGCUUUCGCAUCGGAGACGUGUCUUUAGGAAGCAGAGAGGGUUCGAUUCUGGACUCCGCCCAUGACUCACUUCUCUUGUAAAGAAAGAGUUGUCCUUCCUGGUACUCCAGGUUUAUGGGAUGCAGGAUAAUGGAGCAUGCUCUAUCUGGGACAUUGCUAGUCUUAUGACAGAGGGAGAAGACAGCGAUGUGUCCCCACAUCUCCCAUUGAGACUUCUUGGAAAGAGUUUUCGAAGAACUCCAGGAAGUGGCUGCAGAGCAAAGUAGGAUCCUGAUACUGGUUUUCUUCAGUGUCGAAAUUGGUAUGGAGACGUGGAUGGAGAUUUGAGUCUUAGGAAUUUGGGAAGAGCUCAAGUGAUUCAGAAUGAAAAGACCUUGGCACAGACCUGUUAAGGAAGCUCCAUAUAAGGUGAAGAAAACAACAUGCUCAGCCAUGUCCUUGCCUUCUGCACACGGUAGUGCAUUCACUGCCUGAGAAUUCAAGGCUAAAACAAAAAGAGGAGCUUUUGUUCCAACAGAUAAGUACUUACCUUUUUCAAAAAAUGCAUAAGCUGUCCUGGGUGUUUAGCAGUUAUUCGCACAGCUUUCCAAAGACUCACAGCAUUUAAAAGCUAACUCUACAGAGAUUCAACAGCUUCUUCCAGAUCCCACCACAGUGGAAAAGAACUCCGGUGUCCUGGCUCCCUGUCCAGCUCUUCUCUCUCCCCUUCCAGCUGCCAGUUCAGCUUUAAGAAGUUCAUUCUCCACAUUCAGAUGCAGGCAAAUGCGUUUGACUUGAGCAUAUUGAUUUCAGGCAGGUGAGAGUGGAUGUAGCGAUUCAGCUUGACAAAUAUUUAGAUCAGUUAAGUGUCCUUUAUAAAGAAGCACUUGAACUCAGUGUUUCCUUUACCCGACCAUUUCACUCCACAAGCUACCUCCCCAGCAUAAAAUAUUCAAAUUAUUUCUAAAUUUCAUCUACUGAAAAAAUACUUCUAGGCCCUAUAGCUACAUGAUAUCUCCACUGGGAGCCCUGUCCUUUCCAUGCCCUGGGAAAACCCGAUCUAAAGCAGAUUUAAAUGACUCAGCAGUAGGACUCAGGUCUCUGUCUCUGCCUGCUUACUUGGGGAGUGCUCCAGCCUUAGGGGCUCUCUUGCACUCCAACAUAGGAAAGAAAUUAUCGAUGGCUCCAUUCCCCAGCAUUUGAGACUUUUCUUCCCACAGACACAUUCCUGAGGACACCAGUCAUGGGUAAAGAACUCCACUGGGGUCAGCGUUGGAUCCCACUAGGCAGUUUAGGACUUGUAAGUAGAGUAGUGUGGACUUGGUGUUCCCAGAGCCUCUCACUCAUGAUUCAUGGCUCUCCACCCCAAGCAUCGGAACUUGCCCAACUUCACCACAGAAGGAAACAGACUGUAAGCUUGGAGGGCCAGGGAGGAAACCGGAGGCAUGUGUGGGAGGAUUAGAAACAUGAAAAGAUAUUUACAGUAAGGUUCGCUUGUCAUCCUCUUGAACUGGGGGUGCAUAGAGUACAAUAAGACCCCAUGUGAGUAUGUUAGAUGAUAAGGCUCAGGUUGGAUGGGUGUGUAGAGUAAAGGCUUUGCAUCACCUUUGCCAGGGUGAGGGAAGGCUAUGGAUAGCACAGGGGACCUUGAUGAUCGGGUGAGGGAGCCCAUGUGGACAUAGUGGUCACCAGCUACUUCCUAGUUCUCUACAUGGGAGAAAGAGCCCUUCUCUGUAAUCAUGGAAGCUCAAGUUCUUGGUGGUUCAGAGGUUAGAGACCUCUGAUUACUAGGACAGAGCAGAAUAGCAGGGCUGGUCCUGGUAGAUCAGACAUCUCAUGACAUCCUUUAAAAGGGACUAGAAUAUUCAGAACUCCGGUGUAACUAAAUGAUCCUCAAGCUUUACCAGCAGGUGAGCAAGGUCCCAUUGUAUUUGGUACUCACAUCCCCACCAAUUCUGUAAAAGUUUGCCAACUUUCCCCUCCAUCCCCUGCACCCUUUCACCAAAAGAUAUGCCUAAGAGUUCCCAAGAGACGUCUAACAUAGGCCUGCAUGUCAGCCCAGUCUUCUGGGCUGAGCUGCUGCACUGUUGCUGGCCUUGAUGGCUGAACCUGAUCUCUGUUGUGGCACCCACCACUCUUUCUCAAGCCUUGACACCUUGGCAGGCUUUGGCAAAAAGAGGAGAGCUGUUCUUCCUCGGCAUUAUGUUCACUUAGCAGGGUCCCACAGCAGGAUUGCUUGGACCCCAGAGUAUUGUAGGGCUUAAUAAGACCAGCCCUUUCAUCUCACACGCUCUAUCCUUUCUCUCACUGGUGCACCCACGUCAGGUGUCUUGAGUGGGGAGUGCUCGAAUAUCUGCCACCAGCUUGAGUCAGAACCUCGACUUCCCUCAGCUUUUCAGGGUCUGUUACUGAGUCUGGUCCACACUCCAGGGUCUUUUCCUCA